rnacentral:rRNA from 1 species
GACGAACGCUGGCGGCGUGCUUAACACAUGCAAGUCGAACGGAAAGGCCCUGCUUUUGUGGGGUGCUCGAGUGGCGAACGGGUGAGUAACACGUGAGUAACCUGCCCUUGACUUUGGGAUAACUUCAGGAAACUGGGGCUAAUACCGGAUAGGAGCUCCUGCUGCAUGGUGGGGGUUGGAACGUUUCGGCGGUUGGGGAUGGACUCGCGGCUUAUCAGCUUGUUGGUGGGGUAGUGGCUUACCCAGGCUUUGACGGGUAGCCGGCCUGAGAGGGUGACCGGCCACAUGGGGACUGAGAUACGGCCCAGACUCCUACGGGAGGCAGCAGUGGGGAAUAUUGCACAAUGGGCGGAAGCCUGAUGCAGCAACGCCGCGUGCGGGAUGACGGCCUUCGGGUUGUAAACCGCUUUCGCCUGUGACGAAGCGUGAGUGACGGUAAUGGGUAAAGAAGCACCGGCUAACUACGUG